AAGAGCGUAAGAGCGUAUGUGUGGAUGCCUUGACAUUAGAAGACGAUGAAAGACGUAGCAGCCUGCGAUAAGCUUCGGGGAGGUGGCAAGCAACCUUUGAUCCGGAGAUCUCUGAAUGGGGCAACCCCUCUUGGCGUUGAACCGAGAGACCGCACCGCAAGGUGCGGGGUGUACCUGGCGAAGUGAAACAUCUCAGUAGCCAGUGGAAAAGAAAUAGGUCAUAUAUUCCCUAAGUAGUGGCGAGCGAAAGGGGAGAAGUCUAAACCUCAUAUGAGUCAAACGGUUAGGCGAGUUUUGAUGCAAAUUGAAAUUACGUGAAUUGUUUGGGGCUAUAGGGCUGUACUCUAUAAGGUGUUAAUUUAUAACAGAAUCUUCUGGAAUGAAGAAUCAUAGAGGGUGAUAAUCCCGUAUGUGAAAUAAAUUGUUACUCUGCUUUGGUUGUUCACAAGUACUACCAGACUCGUGAAAUCUGGUAAGAAUCCGGGCCGACUAUUGGCCCAAGACUAAAUACUUCUAAUGAUCGAUAGUGAACAAGUACCGCGAGGGAAAGGUGAAAAGCAGCCCGGUGAGGGCGAUGAAAUAGUAUCUGAAACCAUACGCUUACAAAGAGUCGGAGCUCUAGAUACACGCAAGUGUGUCAGAGUCACGGCAUUCCUAUUGAAGAAUGAGCCAACGAGUUUAUUGUGUGCGGCUUGCUUAAGGACUUACGGUCCAUAGGCGCAGUGAAAGCGAGCGUUAAUAGCGCGUUUGUCGCACAUAUAAGACCCGAAGCCGGAUGAUCAAACCAUGACCAGGUUGAACCCUGUCGAAAGACAGGGGGAGGACCGAACCCACUAGCUGUGCAACACUAGGGGAUGAGUUGUGGUUAGGAGAGAAAUUCUAAUCGAAUUCGGUGAUAGCUGGUUCUCCUCGAAAUAGCUUUAGGGCUAGCCUUGGAAGUUCCUCUUGGUUGUAGAGCACUGAAUGAGACGUGGCGGAGCAAUCCGCCUUGUUUCAACCAAACUCCGAAGGCCAAGAAUUAACAUUCCAGGAGUCAGUCUCUGGGGGCUAAGCUCCAGUGGACAAAAAGGGAACAGCCUAGACCCUCAUCUAAGGUCCCUAAAUCUACGUUAAGUGUAAAAAGCGGUGGAACGACUUAUACAACCAGGAGGUUGGCUUAGAAGCAGCCAUCCUUUAAAGAAAGCGUAACAGCUCACUGGUCAAGUUGUUCUGCACUGAAAAUGUACCGGGGCUAAACGUAGUACCGAAGAUAGGGAAUUUUCAUUAAUUUAUUAAUGAGGAUUGGUAGAGGAGCAUUCCUGUCGCAGUGAAGUCGGACCCGUGAGGGCCGGUGGAGCGUCAGGAAGAGAGAAUGUUGGCAUAAGUAGCACAAACUCUGGUGAAAACCCAGAGCACCGUAAACCCAAGGUUUCCUGGGCAACGCAAAUCGUCCCAGGGUUAGUCGAUCCUAAGGUGAGUCUGCCUUCCGAGGCAGGGUAGCCGAUGGAAGAGGCCGUUAAUAUUCGGCCACUUUCAUAUUUUUGCUAUGCACUGACACAUGACCGCGAUGCAAGCGCGUUUUGGUUAUACGCGUACCGCAAGGUAGAGAUGAAGCCGCAAGGUGGAUUCAAUUUGGGUCAAAGUUGUGUCGAGAAAAGGUGCCAGGCGUUAAGAAUAUGAAAUCCGUACCGUAAACCGACACAGGUGGGUGGGCGUAAGUGUGCCAAGGUGUACGAGAGAACCCUCGUUAAGGAACUCUGCAAAAAAGCAUGCGUAACUUCGGAAUAAGCAUUGCUCCAAUUUGUUGGAGCCGCAGCAAACGAUCUCAAGCGACUGUUUAACAAAAACACAGGUCUCUGCUAAGCCGCAAGGCAAUGUAUAGGGGCUGAUGCCUGGCCAGUGUCAGAACGUUAAGGGGAGGGGUCAUCCCGUAGCAAUACGGGGGCAGCUCUGAACUGAAGCGCUGAUGAACGCCGGCGAUAACUAUAAUCGUCCUAAGGUAGCGAAAUACCUUGUCGUGUGAGUUACGACGCGCACGAAUGGCAUAACGACUUGAGAACUCUCUCAACGAGGGACUCGGCGAAAUUGCAAGGGAGGUGAAGAUGCCUCCUACCCGUGGUUAGACGAAAAGACCCCGUGAAGCUUUACUACAACUUGGUAUUGGAUUAAAAAUUUCUAUGUUCAGUGUAGGUGGGAGCGCCAUAGCAAUAUGGUGCGCCGAUGAGACACCACCCUUAGGUAUUUUUAAUUCUAACCACCCUUAGUUAUCCUAGGGGAGGGACAGUAUCUGGUGGGUAGUUUGACUGGGGCGGUGGCCUCCUAAAAUGUAACGGAGGCGUUUACAAAGGUAAGCUUAGCUCCAAUGGAAACGGAGCUGGACGUGUAAUGGCACAAGCUUGCUUUACUGCAAGUCCUACAAGACGCGCAGUCCCGAAAGGGGAACAUAGUGAUCCGACGAUCCAAUAUAGGAUGGUCGAAGCUCAACGAAUAAAAGCUACUCCGGGGAUAACAGGCUGAUCAGGUCCAAGAGUCCAUAUCGACGACCUGGUUUGGCACCUCGAUGUCGGCUCAUCGCAUCCUGGGGGUGAAGAAGCUCCCAAUGGUUUGGCUGUUCGCCAAUUAAAGCGGUACGCGAGCUGGGUUCAGAACGUCGCGAGACAGCGGUCUCCUAUCUACCACGGGCGCGGAAAUUUGAGAAGGCUCAUCCCUAGUACGAGAGGACCGGGAUGAACAAACCUCUGGUUUAUCGGUUGUGAUACCAAUUGCAGUGCCGAGUAGCCAUGUUUGGUACGGAUAACCGCUGAAAGCAUAUAAGCGGGAAGCCGUCUUCAAGAUUAAAUUUCAUAGAUCCCCACUAGACGAGUGGGUUGAUAGGUUCCAGGUGUAAGGCCCGCAAGGGUUUAAGCCGAGGAAUACUAAUUGAUCGU
rnacentral:rRNA from 2 species